rnacentral:lncRNA from 1 species
UUGUUUCUAUCCUUUAUGAAAAGUUAAGCCUUGAACUGUGGUUCAGUUAUCUACUGGCCCAAGGAUGGAUCCAUUGAUGGGAUGCUACUAUCCAUUGAUGGUUAGUAGCUCUUUUCUCCUCUUUUGCAAUAGAGUUUUUAUUUAUUUAUUUAUCGAGGAGGAUGAGAUUGUUGUGAAACUACAUGACUAAUUAGUUUGGUCGAUGUUAUCUUUUUCUUUUCUCUCCUUUCUUUGUACUUUUUUUCAUCCUAUUUUCUUAAACUUUUCCCUGUUUUCUAUUUUCGGUGUAAUUUCUUGUAUUUGUUCUUUUUAUUUGUUUCUGUUUUAUUUUGUCACUAAAUUUGACUCUUUCGUUGCGACAAUAGGGAUAUAGUUGAUCCACGGAUUCAACGCUCUCACACGCGAGUUUUUUGCAUGUACCUGUCUGUAAGUCUUGUUUCCAAACAUUUGUUGUUGAUUUGGUUUGAGUUCUGAGUUGGGUUUUACGUGAUCUUGAGCUCUAUGUUUGGGGUUCUUUUGGUCCCCAUUUUUGAUCGCCUUCAGGCAAUGUACGUAAUAGCUAUAUACUAGUAGUAUUGGCC